CCCCUAGAUGUUCUGGGCCGCACGCGCGCUACACUGAACAGUUCAACAAGUCUUAACCUUGGCCGAUAGGUCUGGGUAAUCUUUGAACGCUGUUCGUGAUUGGGAUAGACCUUUGCAAUUAUGGGUCUUCAACGAGGAAUUCCUAGUAAACGCAAGUCAUCAGCUUGCAUUGAUUACGUCCCUGCCCUUUGUACACACCGCCCGUCGCACCUACCGAUUGAAUGGUCCGGUGAAGCGUUCGGACCGUGGCCUUUGGACGGUUCGCCGUCUGUUGGCUGCGGGAAGUUCGUUAAACCUUAUCAUUUAGAGGAAGGAGAAGUCGUANCA
rnacentral:rRNA from 1 species